rnacentral:rRNA from 1 species
UACGAAGGGGGCUAGCGUUGUUCGGAAUUACUGGGCGUAAAGCGCGCGCAGGCGGCUAUCCAAGUCAGUGGUGAAAGCCCGGAGCUCAACUCCGGAACUGCCAUUGAAACUGUUUAGCUUGAGGACGAGAGAGGUGAGUGGAAUUCCCAGUGUAGAGGUGAAAUUCGUAGAUAUCGGGAGGAACACCAGUGGCGAAGGCGACUACCUGGCCUGUUCUUGACGCUGAGGCGCGAAAGCUAGGGGAGCAAACGGG